UACGUAGGGGGCGAGCGUUGUCCGGAGUUACUGGGCGUAAAGCGCUUGUAGGCGGUCCACCAAGUUUGGGGUGACAGUUGCCGACUUAAUCGGCAAAGUGCCUCAAAGACUGGCGGACUUGAGGAGCCUAGAGGCCGGUGGAACUCCCGGUGUAGUGGUGAAAUGCGUAGAGAUCGGGAAGAACACCAGUGGCGAAGGCGGCCGGCUGGGGGUGUCCUGACGCUGAGGCGCGAGAGCGUGGGGAGCAAACCGG
rnacentral:rRNA from 1 species